CAGCAGGCGCGCAAAUUACCCACUCCCAGCACGGGGAGGUAGUGACGAAAAAUAACAAUACGGGACUCUUUUGAGACCCCGUAAUUGGAAUGAGUACACUCUAAAUCCUUUAACGAGGAUCCAUUGGAGAGCAAGUCUGGUGCCAGCAGUCGCGGUAAUUCCAGCUCCAAUAGCGUAUAUUAAAGUUGUUGCGGUUAAAAAGCUCGUAGUUGGAUCUCAGCUCCGGCCGGGCGGUCCGCCUACCGGUGGUCACUGCUCGCUGCCGAGCGUUCAGGGGGCUCUCGCAGAUGAUCUUCACCGGUUGUCUGCGGGGACCCUCACGUUUACUUUGAAAAAAUUAGAGUGCUCAAAGCAGGCGCGACGCCUGGAUAAUUGUGCAUGGAAUAAUGGAAUAGGACCUCGGUUCUAUUUUGUUGGUUUUCGGAACACGAGGUAAUGAUUAAGAGGGACAGACGGGGGCAUUCGUAUUGCGACGCUAGAGGUGAAAUUCUUGGACCGUCGCAAGACGAACUACUGCGAAAGCAUUUGCCAAGAAUGUUUCCAUUAAUCAAGAACGAAAGUUAGAGGUUCGAAGGCGAUCAGAUACCGCCCUAGUUCUAACCAUAAACGAUGCCAGCCAGCGAUCCGGCUGCGUUCCUCAAAUGACGCGCCGGGCAGCUUCCGGGAAACCAAAGCUUUUGGGUUCCGGGGGAAGUAUGGUUGCAAAGCUGAAACUUAAAGGAAUUGACGGAAGGGCACCACCAGAAAUGGAGCCUGCGGCUUAAUUUGACUCAACACGGGAAAACUUACCCGGCCCGGACACAGGAAGGAUUGACAGAUUAAGAGCUCUUUCUUGAUUCUGUGGGUGGUGGUGCAUGGCCGUUCUUAGUUGGUG
rnacentral:rRNA from 1 species